rnacentral:rRNA from 1 species
UACGGAGGGGGCGAGCGUUAUUCGGAAUUAUUGGGCGUAAAGGGCUCGUAGGCGGCCAACUAAGUCAGACGUGAAAUCCCUCGGCUUAACCGGGGAACUGCGUCUGAUACUGGAUGGCUUGAGUUCGGGAGAGGGAUGCGGAAUUCCAGGUGUAGCGGUGAAAUGCGUAGAUAUCUGGAGGAACACCGGUGGCGAAGGCGGCAUCCUGGACCGAUACUGACGCUGAGGAGCGAAAGCCAGGGGAGCAAACGGG